GGCUUCAGAUGAGCAAUGGUUGUGACACGCUGUAGGAUAGGCCUCCCCGAAGCAGCCAGUUCUUUUGGAACUCAUCAAAUUGAGGCUGCACCAAACAACUCUGCAGGUGAUGGGUUUAAGGCAAAUCUUGUCUUUAAGGAGAUUGAGACGUUUGAAGAGGAAGGGGAAUCGUUUGUGAAGAAAAUCGGUGGUAUUUUUGCCUUCAAGUUGAAGGAUGGCUCUGGGGGUAAAGAAGCCACCUGGGUAGGGGAUGUGAAGGAUGGCAAAGAAUCAGUGCUUCCUGACUCAGAUAAGAAGGCUGAUUGCACAAUCACAAUGGUUGACUCGGACUUACUGGCUUUAAUGAUGGGUAAAAUGAAUCCUCAGUCGGUCUUCUUCCAAGACAAAUUGAAAAUCAUGGGCAAUAUGGCUCUAACUAUGAAGUUACCAAACCUUCAGCUUCAGUCAGGCAAAGCUAAACUGUGA